UCCGUAGUGGUGUAACGGUUAGCAUACCUGUCUUUCGCACAGUUGAUCGGAGUUCGACUCUUCGUUACGGAA